GCGGUCGUGGCGGAAUGGCAGACGCGCCAGCUUGAGGGGCUGGUCGGGGUAUCCCCGGUGGAAGUUCGAGUCUUCUCGGCCGCA
rnacentral:tRNA from 3 species